rnacentral:lncRNA from 1 species
GACAAGAGCAAGAUUCUGUCUCAAAAAUAAAAUUUUAAAAGUUCUGCAAUUCUGCAUAAAGAUAAAUGCUAUUUGUUCCUGGGGGCUGGGGUCACCAGGGAGGCUUCCUGGAGGAGGAGGCAGGGCUGAGGAAUGGAUGGCAGCAGAGAGUAUUUGUGGGUGAGGCUAUGGUGCUGCUGGAGAGGCAGGGUGUGGCAGCUUGGGCUGGGGCCAGCAGUGAGCUUGGAAUUCCCCAGGGCUUUCCAGAAGCCAGAAGGCCGGGGCGGAGUGGGUUGUCCAAGAGCUUGUCUUGUCCUCUUGCCCUGGCCACAGCCGGGAAGCCCUGGGCAGGCGCCCGUGGAUAGCUGGCACGCUCAGCCUUUGGUGGAGAACUGAGAAAGUCUGAAGCAGGAAGGUGGAAAAACAUUUCGUGCUCAGGGAGGAAACGUCUUCACCCCGGUUUACAGGAUGACACGUCAGCAGGGCCCUCACCAGAUGCUGGCCCCUUGAUCUCAGACUUCCCGGCCUCCUGCGCUGCCAGCCUAAUACACUUCUCUUCGUUGUAAAUUACUCAGUCUGUGAUAUUCUGUGAUAGCAACAGAAAACAGACGAAGACGCAGGCCAAGGUGAGCUCAGAUGGGAAUGGGGCCUGGUGUGAGUCAGGAUGUGGACUGGCCCAGGGCACAGAGGUCAGGAGCAGGACAUUGGGGCCAGAGCUCAGGGUUACCUGGACUCUGUCAGAGGCCUCUGGUUGGAUCCAGCCUCACCACCCUGGUGUUUGAGGCCCUCUGCACUUCCAUCCAGCUCCGGGCAGCCAGGUUGGUCUCUUUCAUCUCCUGUGCACACACUUCAGUCUCAUCUCUCACCCUUGACCCUGCCCAAAAUAGUCUGUACUUACGAAGAGUCUGCCCCUCUUUCCAGCUUUAUCUCAGGAAGGACCUUCAGGAAGCUUUUCCCAACCACUUCAGCCCCAGGGUCCUGAGAUUUCUCUGGAUUCCGGAACGCGCUGGCCGGUCACUCAACACCAGAGUGAAUACACGUGUCUGUCUGGUCCCGCCGUCCUCA